CUCCGCGAACUCAGUAACACGUGGAUAACCUGACCUAGGGUGGAGGAUAACCCCGGGAAACUGGGGAUAAUACUCCAUAGGCUACGGAAGCUGGAAUGCUCUGUAACCCAAAGCUCCGGCGCCCUAGGAUGGGUCUGCGGCCGAUUAGGUUGUUGUUGGGGUAACGGCCCAACAAGCCGAUCAUCGGUACGGGUUGUGGGAGCAAGAGCCCGGAGAUGGAUUCUGAGACAUGAAUCCAGGCCCUACGGGGCGCAGCAGGCGCGAAAACUUUACAAUGCGGGAAACCGUGAUAAGGGGACCCCGAGUGCCUGUACACGCAGGCUGUUCAGGUGUUUAAAACGCAUCUGGAGAAAGGGCCGGGCAAGACCGGUGCCAGCCGCCGCGGUAAUACCGGCGGCUCGAGUGGUGGCCACUAUUACUGGGCUUAAAGCGUCCGUAGCCGGGUUGUUAAGUCUCCUGGGAAAUCCAACGGCUCAACCGUUGGGCGUCAGGGGAUACUGGCAAUCUAGGGAUCGGGGGAGGUGAGAGGUACUCUAGGGGUAGGAGUGAAAUCCUGUAAUCCUUGGGGGACCACCUGUGGCGAAGGCGUCUCACCAGAACGACUCCGACGGUGAGGGACGAAAGCUGGGGGAGCAAACCGGAUUAGAUACCCGGGUAGUCCCAGCUGUAAACGAUGCGCGUUAGGUGUAUCGGUGACUACGAGUCACCGAGGUGCCGAAGGGAAACCGUGAAACGUGCCGCCUGGGAAUACGGUCGCAAGGCUGACUUAAAGGCCA
rnacentral:rRNA from 1 species